UCAGGCUCGUGUCGUGAGAUGUUGGUUAAGUCCGCAACGAGCGCAACCCCUAUCUUAAUUGCCAUCAUUCAGUUUGGGCACUUUAAAGAGACUGCCGGUGUUAAACCGGAGGAAGGUGGGGAUGACGUCAAGUCCUCAUGGCCUUUAUGCUUAGGGCUACACACGUGCUACAAUGGGUGGUACAAAGAGCAGCCAACUCGCGAGAGCGCGCUAAUCUCAAAAAGCCAUCCUCAGUUCGGAUUGGAGUCUGCAACUCGACUGCAUGAAGUUGGAAUCGCUAGUAAUCGCUGAUCAGCAGGCAGCGGUGAAUACGUUCCCGGGCCUU
rnacentral:rRNA from 1 species